rnacentral:rRNA from 1 species
AUACGUAGGUGGCAAGCGUUGUCCGGAAUUAUUGGGCGUAAAGCGCGCGCAGGCGGUCCUUUAAGUCGGAUGUGAAAGCCCACGGCUCAACCGUGGAGGGUCAUUGGAAACUGGGGGACUUGAGUGCAGAAGAGGAAAGUGGAAUUCCAAGUGUAGCGGUGAAAUGCGUAGAGAUUUGGAGGAACACCAGUGGCGAAGGCGACUUUCUGGUCUGUAACGGACGCUGAGGCGCGAAAGCGUGGGGAGCAAACAGGAUUAGAUACCCUGGUAGUCCACGCCGUAAACGAUGAGUGCUAAGUGUUAGGGGGUUUCCGCCCCUUAGUGCUGCCGCUAACGCAUUAAGCACUCCGCCUGGGGAGUACGGUCGCAAGACUGAAACUCAAAGGAAUUGACGGGG